rnacentral:rRNA from 1 species
GAUGAACGCUGGCGGCGUGCCUAAUACAUGCAAGUAGAACGCUGAAGGAGGAGCUUGCUCUUCUGGAAGAGUUGCGAACGGGUGAGUAACGCGUAGGUAACCUGCCUCUUAGCGGGGGAUAACUAUUGGAAACGAUAGCUAAUACCGCAUAAAAGUCGACAUUGCAUGAUGUUGACUUGAAAGGUGCAACUGCAUCACUAAGAGAUGGACCUGCGUUGUAUUAGCUAGUUGGUGAGGUAACGGCUCACCAAGGCGACGAUACAUAGCCGACCUGAGAGGGUGAUCGGCCACACUGGGACUGAGACACGGCCCAGACUCCUACGGGAGGCAGCAGUAGGGAAUCUUCGGCAAUGGGGGCAACCCUGACCGAGCAACGCCGCGUGAGUGAAGAAGGUUUUCGGAUCGUAAAGCUCUGUUGUAAGAGAAGAACGAGUGUGAGAGUGGAAAGUUCACGCUGUGACGGUAUCUUACCAGAAAGGGACGGCUAACUACGUGCCAGCAGCCGCGGUAAUACGUAGGUCCCGAGCGUUAUCCGGAUUUAUUGGGCGUAAAGCGAGCGCAGGCGGUUAGAUAAGUCUGAAGUUAAAGGCUGUGGCUUAACCAUAGUACGCUUUGGAAACUGUUUAACUUGAGUGCAGAAGGGGAGAGUGGAAUUCCAUGUGUAGCGGUGAAAUGCGUAGAUAUAUGGAGGAACACCGGUGGCGAAAGCGGCUCUCUGGUCUGUAACUGACGCUGAGGCUCGAAAGCGUGGGGAGCAAACAGG